ACCUGGGUGGCUCAGUCGGUUGGGCGUCUGACUUCGGCUCAGGUCAUGAUCUCACGGUUCGUGGGUUCGAGCCCCGCGUCGGGCU
rnacentral:tRNA from 1 species